rnacentral:rRNA from 1 species
AUGGCCUGGUAGGGGAAAGCUUUUGCGGUGUGGGAUGGGCCCGCGGCCUAUCAGCUUGUUGGUGGGGUGAUGGCCUACCAAGGCGACGACGGGUAGCCGGCCUGAGAGGGUGACCGGCCACACUGGGACUGAGAUACGGCCCAGACUCCUACGGGAGGCAGCAGUGGGGAAUAUUGCACAAUGGGCGCAAGCCUGAUGCAGCGACGCCGCGUGAGGGAUGACGGCCUUCGGGUUGUAAACCUCUUUCGGUAGGGACGAAGCGCAAGUGACGGUACCUACAGAAGAAGGACCGGCCAACUACGUGCCAGCAGCCGCGGUAAUACGUA